rfam:Cucumis melo, WGS project CAJI01000000 data, contig: 23960
UGGCAGUGAUGAGCUUAUGAGAUUGUCAUGCACCACUCUGAUGAUAUGUGCUGAUAAGUUUCUCUAAACCCAUUGAUCUGAGCCU